AUUGAACGCUGGCGGCAGGCCUAACACAUGCAAGUCGAGCGAGCGGCGGACGGGUGAGUAAUGUCUGGGAAACUGCCUGAUGGAGGGGGAUAAAUACUGGAAACGGUAGCUAAUACCGCAUACCAUCGGAUGUGCCCAGAUGGGAUUAGCUAGUGGGUGGGGUAAUGGCUAACCUAGGCGACGAUCCCUAGCGGGUCUGAGAGGAUGACCAGCCACCCUGGAAGUGAGACACGGUCCUGACUCCUACGUGAGGCAGCAGUGGGGAAUAUUACGCAAUGGACGCAAGCCUGACACAGCCAUGCCGCGUGUGUGAAGAAGGCCUUCGGGUUGUAAAGCACUUUCAUCGGGGAGGCGUUACCCGCAGAAGAAGCACCGGCUAACUCCGUGCCAGCCGCCGCGGUAAUUC
rnacentral:rRNA from 1 species